CUCUUGAGAGCGGCGGACGGGUGAGUAAUGCCUAGGAAUCUGCCUGGUAGUGGGGGAUAACGUUCGGAAACGGACGCUAAUACCGCAUACGUCCUACGGGAGAAAGCAGGGGACCUUCGGGCCUUGCGCUAUCAGAUGAGCCUAGGUCGGAUUAGCUAGUUGGUGAGGUAAUGGCUCACCAAGGCGACGAUCCGUAACUGGUCUGAGAGGAUGAUCAGUCACACUGGAACUGAGACACGGUCCAGACUCCUACGGGAGGCAGCAGUGGGGAAUAUUGGACAAUGGGCGAAAGCCUGAUCCAGCCAUGCCGCGUGUGUGAAGAAGGUCUUCGGAUUGUAAAGCACUUUAAGUUGGGAGGAAGGGCAGUAAAUUAAUACUUUGCUGUUUUGACGUUACCGACAGAAUAAGCACCGGCUAACUCUGUGCCAGCAGCCGCGGUAAUACAGAGGGUGCAAGCGUUAAUCGGAAUUACUGGGCGUAAAGCGCGCGUAGGUGGUUUGUUAAGUUGGAUGUGAAAUCCCCGGGCUCAACCUGGGAACUGCAUUCAAAACUGACUGACUAGAGUAUGGUAGAGGGUGGUGGAAUUUCCUGUGUAGCGGUGAAAUGCGUAGAUAUAGGAAGGAACACCAGUGGCGAAGGCGACCAC
rnacentral:rRNA from 1 species